rnacentral:lncRNA from 1 species
UCACGUUGGAUUUCAGGUUUCAACCCACUCAGAAAGCAGUCAAGAGUAGCGUCAGGGUUGAGUCCGUCGGAGCGGUUGGCUAAAACGGUGAAACGGGUAUAAUAAUCGGCGACAGUGGUUGUUUGGUGUAGUUUGAAAAGGGUGGUUCGAGGAGAUUCAUAGGGUGAGGGACCAAACUCCCUUUCUAAAGCACGCGUGAACAUGGUCCAUGAUUGGAAAGGCGCGUUACGAGAAAUCAUCUGGAAUGGUACCACAUCCUUUUCCAUAUGCACGACGGCGAUAGUGAGGCGGUGGUUGUCCGGUGUGGCAUAAUAAUCAAAAAAUUGUUCCGCUCGAAAAAUCCAGUUCAUAACCUCAGAUCCGUCAAAUCGGGGGAAAUCCAACUUGAUAUUACGUACCUGAAACGGUUGAACGGUUGUUGUUUGUGAGUUUUUUCCACCGGAAGAGCUU